ACGUAGGGUGCGAGCGUUGCUCGGAUUUACUGGGCGUAAAGCGCGCGUAGGCGGUCCAUUAAGUCUGCGGUGAAAUUCAGAGGCUCAACCUCUGUCCCGCCGCUGAAACUGGUGGUCUUGAGAUUGGGAGAGGGAUGCGGAAUUCCUGGUGUAGAGGUGAAAUGCGUAGAUAUCAGGAGGAACACCGGCGGCGAAGGCGGCUCCCUGGAUCAUAUCUGACGCUGAGGCGCUAAAGCGUGGGUAGCAAACGG
rnacentral:rRNA from 1 species